AAUAGACACAGUUUGAAAUCCCUGCCAUACCACCCCAAAAUCAAUAUAUAACAACAUUGCAAAGGACAGUUACUAUCCGAAAAACUCUGUCAGAAGCAAUUAUGCUAGCUCCGUAACUUAAACAUUUCAAGUCAUCGAAUUUUUGUAUAUUGUACAAAUUUGUUAAUCACAGAAUGCUACAUUUUCCCUCGAAUGGUAUUGUCGCCCACCACACCAUUCACAUGUACACAGG
rnacentral:lncRNA from 1 species